rnacentral:rRNA from 1 species
UAAAUAGCCGCAACUUAGUGCUAAGGUAGCAUAAUCAUUAGUUCCCUAAUUAGGAAAUAGUAUGAAAGGCCAAACGAGGAGUAUACUGUCUCAUAAAGAUUAAAUAAAAUUAAUUUAACAGUAAUAAAGCUGUUAUAAAUAAACAAGACGACAAGACCCUGAAUUCGAACUAAAAUGUCAGCUGGGGAGGCUAGAAAAUAAAACCUUAAUUAAACACAAAUAAACUCACUAAUAAAAAUAUAUCAAGUUACCGCAGGGAUAACAGCGCUACCUCUUUCUAAAGCCCAAAUAAAAAAAGAGAUCUACGACCUCGAUGUUGAAUUAAUUACCCUUCUUAGCGUAAAAACUAAAAAAGGAGGUCUGUUCGACCAAUAAACAAUU